GUAUAGCACAAAGUCACAAGUCACAGUCACAAAUCUGAAGUCUCUUCUGGUUGUUUGGCAGCCUCAUAUUUUCAUCAAGACUCAAGGAAGUCACUUCUCUCCACUAAAGAUAGUCCAGAACAUAAGCUCCCUGUAAAACCACAAUGGGUGUAUUUCACUAUAUUUAGACAGAGCCUGGCUUGGCACAUCUAGUCUUCAUGGCCUUUAAAUAUGGCUGAAAUGUAUCGGUGUUCACAGGUUGUUAGAUUUGUUCCACACCCCAGGCUUUAUGAACUCUGCCUGAUGUUGGUUACCACUGUGUUUUUUCAACUGGGAUUUAAAGCUGCAUUUAUUUAUUUUUGCUGCUGCUGGAAACCAGCUUCACAAGAGCAGCCUGUGUCCUGGAAAAAAAACUAUAGACACUAGUGAGAGUGGUGUUUGUGGAGUCAGAAAACUGAAACAAUGAGAUAAGAGAGGAAAAAGCCCAGGUGGCGAUAAUGCUCUGUGAGUUUGUCACUAUGACUAACACAGUCAUUUGAUCCAUUGUUAAAGUGAGAGGAGAUAUUUCAGCUCUGGUUCCAGAACUAAAGGCCUCAUUCAUUUUCUCAUACAGUGUUACAUGGAUCAGCAAAUCAUCAGUCAACAUGAUUAUCAGCUGGGUUAGAAAAUAUCUUGUUCUUUGAUUAAAGAAAAAAGUCAAAAGUACAAGCUUGUGUGCAUACAGUUUUGGGGGAAAAGGUUCAAUACUAAGGUGUAUUUCAGCAGGAAAGUGAGUUGCUAACAGUGGCAGAGAGCUAAAGAUCACACAGCACAAACUGAGAACUCAAUCUGUAACUUAAAUCACUUCACUUUUAAAUUCUGGGUCAGUUUUGAUAGAAUCCAGCAUGUAUGUUUUUUUUUUAGCAACUGUAACCCUAUGGGUGUUGUAGUAUUUAGACCGGUCUGCCAGACCAAAAUGACAGACUCACCAUGAUUUUUCAUAAAUGAGGUUUAAGUGAUUAAAUCAGGUGGCUAUAACAUUAACCACUUUAUUUUAUAGGUCCUGCAUUUUCCAGCUAAAUUUCAGGAAACUUUCCUCAGAAUUUCCUAAACAUUUGCUCGUAUUUAGCUAUAAAUGACUAUGGUAGUUCCAAGAAAGCCUAUGCAAUUUGAAUAAAUGGAGAAAGAAUUAACAUACUUCAAAUUUUUUACCUACCAGCUUGUUAUAUUUGAGUUGUAGGAGGAAUUGUAGGAGGUAAAUGAAGAACAGUUCACAAAUUCAAGUCAAUAUCCACCGCUCAAUUGUUGAUUUGACAGAAAAUAAGUCGUUUUAUUCCACAGCUCCAGUCUAUGGAAAUUAAAUAGAAGUAAGUUAAUAAAUGUAACUGCUACGUUGGUGAAAUUUUUAUAGCAGUUUGAAACUAAAACCACAUAAUCCCCAGUACAGCUGAAAACACAGUUGAAAAUACAGUUGAGAAUGCAAUUACAAUGCUACAUGCAAUGCUGAUUACAAAGCAGAUCUAUCAUGUAUGGCAGUUCAAAGAGAUGAAGAAUCAGAAUUGUGUAUUUCUGUUUGUCUUUCUAGGAAACAUUGAUGGAUAUUGAUAGCAUGACUGUAGAAGCUAACACUUUCUCUGUUCCCCCAAACUGUGUUGGACUCUCUUGAAAUAUAUAAUUUACAGCUAAGCAGCAUUUUUUUCUAAGCUAAGGCUACAUCCUGUUAUUCAUGUGUUGCUUUUAGCUGGAAGUCAGUGUCCCCACUGUAAAAAUGACCUGAAGACAUCUGUCCAUCAAAGUGCCAAGAUCCCCAACAGGUACUCGUCUUUGCAGUACACCCAGCAGUGGUGAGGAAAAGGAGGAACAGCAGUGUUCUCUGAUAACCUCACUGGAUUACUGGACCAUGUUUGGACACUCUUAACAGCAUAUCUCUGUUGGGUUUUGUCAAACUGCAUUACUAUGCAAUAAUCACAUAUCCAUCAUUUGUCCAUAUUUCAUAUUAAGCUGUGUGGCAUUUGUUCAGAUCACAUUUAGAAUGAGUGGAGACAGUGAUCGUGUUUGUCAUUCAUGGACUGAUGAACAUGGAAGUGCCGUGUAAAACAGGAGAACAAACUCUCUUUCUUUCAAACUGAUGGGUAUUCAGCAUACAUGAUGAGGAAAGUAAAACACUGAAUCCAACUCCA